AAAAAGAAAAUUAUGUAGUAUUAAAAAAGGAAAAACACGUGUUAAAAUAUGGUUGGUGUGUGAUAUACUAUUUCAGUUGAAACUGAGGAUGGCCUAAAAAGGUGGUAUUUAUUACCGUUCAAACAAAGACAAGGGGUCAUAGGACUGCAAAGUAUAAGGGUAAAACUGGUACAAUGAGACAACUUCAGGGAGGUAAUUAUGUAUUAUCCCUUUUUUUAAUUUGAUCUAAACUUUUUGGGUUUAAGGCAUGAAGGAGAAGAGUGUAGGGCAGCAAGAAAGAGACAACUUGGAGCUCUUCAUCGGAAACAAAGUUCAGUUUCGCUUUUCGAGUCUCCUAGUGGGUAUAUAUCAAAAAUCAUAACGAUUUACAUUCUUACAAGUAAGUUUUCAUAUAUUGUAACACUUUUAAGUCAUACAAUAACCUCUCUUGAUUACUAUUUUCUUAUCAUACCCACUUCUGUUAAGCCUUUAUAUACCUCCUUCUUUAGUCCUAUGUAAUUGAAAUGCUAUUUUUGGUAUCUUUUUUAUCGUUGUUUACAGAAAAAUCGUUAUUUAGAUCAUUAGUGAACAAUUGAUGUGGAAGUAAGAAUUAUUGGUAAAGUUACUUUUAAAUUUCUGUUUUUACCUGGUGUUUUUAUAUUUUCUCGUGUCUACUGAUUUAUGCUUUUCUAUACACUCCUUUCAGCCAUAAUAUCAUGGUGGUCAGAAUUCCAUAUUAUAAUACUGAAAAGUUUCUCUGGAAUUGCCUCUUAUCCCCUACUGCUUUAUGGGAAAAUUGGAGUAAAAAGAAAUAGUGUGAAGGAGGAAAAAGAGCUGAAAGCAUCCUUUUUCAAAGUUUUCUUAAGUUAUAUUUCCUAGAUAUAUCAGUUAUAAAAGUAGUCAACAACCUUACUUGAGCAGGAUCAGUCACACAAUCAUGACUGACAACAACUAUUUUUUUAUACAAUUUUUGCCUGCUAAAGAGGCUUGUGUGUGAAUAACCUUCAAAAGAAGGCCUAGCUCAAAGGGGGUGGAUUUGUGUCUUAGGUCACAGGUUCAAGCCCCCACACCAUGCAAAGCAAAGCCUGGUAUUUAAGUGGAGAAGGGUAGAGGGGCGGGCCCAUUAUCCACCGAGUUUCGAAGGCUGCGGUUGGUCCAAAGGAUCAGCCCCAGACGGAUUUCUCGGUCAUCAAAAAAAAAAGAAAGGUACCCAACAUUGCAGCAAAGGGCCUCUCUGUAGAGAUCAUCACAAAGGUACUUAACCACCUCUCUCUACCCUACAAAACACAUCAAUGCUUUGAUGUUGUUUCUCAGCACCUGAAAUUAGUUUUGGUCAUAUCUUAACAACUCUUGAAUUUUUUUCAUGGCUGAUACCAUAUGGAGGUUUGCCUUCAGCUACCUCUUUUUCUGUGUUUGGCAUCUUUAUGAGGGAGGUUUCUGGUUCUGAAAUAUUUAUUGUGUGUCGCUUAUCAUUGCUGAAACAUGAUAUAACAUGUAUGAAAAGGGUAGGUAUCGUAUAACUUUCUAUGUAAACUGAGUCAUUAACAAACUUUUACUAGAUAUAAUGGUUAAUAUAAAAUAUGGAUUUAAGAUUGCAUUGUGACACAUGAUGUAGCUUCAACACCAAGUUAGUGCUAAAAGUAGGGAUGGUACGCGGGACUUGAUUAGUUCUGUUAACAGAAUUUUGUAUCGUAGAAAAAUGAUGAAAAAUCUUAAGGGUGUGAUUUUUUCCCUUUAAAUCAUGCUCGAGAUUUUAACAUCAAAUUCGCUGUUUGUAGGCUUAUAAAGACAAACUUUUAACACUUCCAAUCCUAUCUUCAUAUAUGAUCCUUGUAACUUCUUGGACCAACAAAAAACUAGAGAAGUUGAGGGGUCGAAUUUAUAACAUAGCUUCUUGUUCUUUGUAAUAGUUGCUGCUUUGUCUAUUUGGAACAUUGAAAACUUGAUAAAUUUUAUUUUUUAUAGAAGGUUUAGUUAGUAACUUAGUAUUGACAAGUUUAAUUUGCAUUUCUUUUGCUGUAUGUUGAAAUAUAUUACCUUUUUUUUGUUGAUUUAUGUUGAAAUAUAUACUUAGCAACCUUAGCAGGCACCGUAUAGAGACUAUCAUUUUGCUCUGCUACUUUCAAGUUUCAUGGGAUGUGGAUUUGCUCUACUUGCAUAUACUCAUGUGUAUCAGUAUAUGCAAUAUCAACCUACAAGACAAGGCAAUCUAAUAACAAACUAUUGAGAAACAACAGAGUUCGACGGAACGCUUACCAUGACAGCUUUCCAUUAAGUAGCAAGCUGAAAAAGACGUAGUAAAUGAGGCUCUAGAUUGGUUGUUGAAAGGCACCGUUCUUAUGUCCUUUUUGCAUAUAUUUUUGUACACAUAUGGUAAAUAAAUAAAAAAUAUGCUCAUGUUGUAUGGAAAACUUUUUUGAUUAUGAUUAUCUAUUUCAAUUUUAA